rnacentral:rRNA from 1 species
AACGAACGCUGGCGGCGUGCCUAACACAUGCAAGUCGAGCGGGAAAAUUCCCUUCGGGGAGUGAGUACAGCUGCGAACGGGUGAGUAACACGUAGGUAACCUACCCUGGAGACUGGGAUAACCUGCCGAAAGGCGGGCUAAUACUAGAUAAGACCACGAGAGCCACGGCUCUUGAGGUAAAAGGUGGCCUCUACUUGUACGCUACCACUCUGGGAUGGGCCUGCGCGCCAUUAGCUAGUUGGUGAGGUAACGGCUCACCAAGGCUGAGAUGGCUAGCUGGUCUGAGAGGAUGGCCAGCCACACUGGGACUGAGACACGGCCCAGACUCCUACGGGAGGCAGCAGUGGGGAAUCUUGCGCAAUGGGCGAAAGCCUGACGCAGCGACGCCGCGUGGGUGAUGAAGGCCUUCGGGUCGUAAAGCCCUGUCAAGAGGGACGAAACCUCGUCGACCUAAUACGUCGGCGACUUGACGGUACCUCUGAAGGAAGCACCGGCUAACUCCGUGC